CAAAAGGAAAAAAUUCAUGGUAAUUUCAAAAGAAUUAGUUGAACGGAAACCUUUUAAUAUUAAAAUCUGAAGACCUUGGUAAUCUCCAACCCAGUUUUGGGGAAAUGUCUCCAUAAUUUGUUGGGUAGCAGAGUCCGUCUCCUCCACUCUCAGAAAGUAAGCAUAUGCAAUUUUCACAGAUUCAAUAAAUUCAUCCUCAUGGAUUGUAGUCAAACACGCAAUGGCUGUCCAUAAUAUUUGAGAAUAACUUAGUAAAUCAUCGGAGUUCAUAACUAAAACAUAGGAAUUAAAAGUUCGCAAUAUUUCAACGGAAUAAUCACGUAAAUAGCUCGUUUCAUCUGAUAUUGUACCAACUAGACGAGAAAUAAUCUCAAGAAGCAUUCGUGCAUCAAAAUCUGGAAGCAAAGAACGAAACAACUGGAAUGAAUUACAAGCCAAACGUCGAGAAGGACAAGUCGUAGCCCACGAUAAAGCAACCUCACCCCAUAUUUGUUUAAGCUCAGGAUAUGAUGAACUCAAUAACUCAAUUGUCUUCAAAAUCAUGUUAUGAUAUUUAACCAAAUCAUCCUCCUUCUUGGUUUUACCACGAAGGCCCGUUAUUAGUGAGCUUUCUACAUUGAAAUCAAAAUAAGCGUCGUCAUAAUCUAACCUUCCUUCCAUAGCUAGAACUUUUCGUACAA